rnacentral:rRNA from 1 species
CAAUAGCGUAUAUUAAAGUUGUUGCAGUUAAAAAGCUCGUAGUUGAAUUUUUGCUUGCCGCCGAUGUCGGAACUUCCGUACGUUCGGCGGCGUGCAUCCUUGGGUGGAACCUGUGUGGCAUUAGGUUGUCGUGCAGGGGAUGCUCAUCGUUUACUGUGAAAAAAUUAGAGUGUUCAAAGCAGGCUUACGCCGUUGAAUAUAUUAGCAUGGAAUAAUAAGAUAGGACCUUGGUACCAUUUUGUUGGUUUGCGCACCGAGGUAAUGAUUAACAGGGACAGUUGGGGGUAUUCGUAUUCCAUUGUCAGAGGUGAAAUUCUUGGAUUUCUGGAAGACGAACUACUGCGAAAGCAUUUACCAAGGAUGUUUUCAUUAA